UACGUAGGUGGCAAGCGUUGUCCGGAUUUACUGGGCGUAAAGGAUGCGUAGGCGGACAUUUAAGUCAGAUGUGAAAUACCCGAGCUUAACUUGGGUGCUGCAUUUGAAACUGGGUGUCUAGAGUGCAGGAGAGGUAAGUGGAAUUCCUAGUGUAGCGGUGAAAUGCGUAGAGAUUAGGAAGAACACCAGUGGCGAAGGCGGUUGCCUGGAGCUUUGCUGACGCUGAUGCGCGAAAGCGUGGGGAGCGAUCCGG
rnacentral:rRNA from 1 species